UACGGAGGGUGCAAGCGUUAUCCGGAAUCAUUGGGUUUAAAGGGUCCGUAGGCGGUUUUGUAAGUCAGUGGUGAAAGCCCAUCGCUCAACGGUGGAACGGCCAUUGAUACUGCAAGACUUGAAUUAUUGUGAAGUAACUAGAAUAUGUAGUGUAGCGGUGAAAUGCUUAGAGAUUACAUGGAAUACCAAUUGCGAAGGCAGGUUACUAACAAUAUAUUGACGCUGAUGGACGAAAGCGUGGGUAGCGAACAGG
rnacentral:rRNA from 1 species